rnacentral:rRNA from 1 species
CUACGGGGCGCAGCAGCUGCGAAUUUUUUACAAUGCACGAAAGUGUGAUAAAGCGAGCCAAAGUGCUAUUUCAAUUGAAAUAGCUUUUUUUCAGUGUAAAAACCUGGAGGAAUAAGGACUGGGCAAGACCGGUGCCAGCCGCCGCGGUAAUACCGGCAGUCCAAGUUGCAUCCAUUUUUAUUGGGUCUAAAACAUCCGUAGCUUGUUUAUUAAGUCUCUUGUGAAAUCUCAUGUCUCAAGUAUGAGGCUUGCAGGAGAUACUGAUAGGCUAGAGACCGGUAGACGUAAGGAGUACGGGCAAGGUAGUGGUAAAAUACGUUAAUCUUGCUUGGACUAACAAUCAGCGAAGGCACCUUACGAGGACGGAUCUGACAGUGAGGGAUGAAGGCCAGGGGCGCAAAACGGAUUAGAUACCCGUGUAGUC